GUUGUGUAUUUUCUAUAAUUUUUUUGUUUGCUUGAAUUUAGAUUAGUCUUGAGUGAACUUAUCCAUACGUAUAUUUUACAAAUAGUGCUUUAAUAUGCUAAAUUAUUGUGUAUCUGAAAACUCAGUGCCUAAGUACAGCAGCUGAUGGUGGCUCCUGAUCGGCGGCGGCGACUCCGGGCGGCGGCAGCGCGGCACGGCGCGGACUGGCGAGGUCUGCUCCGAGCUCGUCUGAGAACUGUACAGCUCCUGACUGCUGUCCGAACACCUGAGGUACUUGAGGGCGCGAGAAACUCCGACAGCACGUAUCUACGUACUCGUAUAACUCACGGUUACGGCGAGCCACAUCCCGAGAAACAGGAACGACGAGGAAUUUAUACCAGCACCCGAAAAAAUCAACCAAAUUAAAACUUUAAUU